AGUGAACGCUGGCGGUAGGCCUAACACAUGCAAGUCGAACGGCAGCACAGUAAGAGCUUGCUCUUACGGGUGGCGAGUGGCGGACGGGUGAGGAAUACAUCGGAAUCUACUUUUUCGUGGGGGAUAACGUAGGGAAACUUACGCUAAUACCGCAUACGACCUACGGGUGAAAGCAGGGGAUCUUCGGACCUUGCGCGAUUGAAUGAGCCGAUGUCGGAUUAGCUAGUUGGCGGGGUAAAGGCCCACCAAGGCGACGAUCCGUAGCUGGUCUGAGAGGAUGAUCAGCCACACUGGAACUGAGACACGGUCCAGACUCCUACGGGAGGCAGCAGUGGGGAAUAUUGGACAAUGGGCGCAAGCCUGAUCCAGCCAUACCGCGUGGGUGAAGAAGGCCUUCGGGUUGUAAAGCCCUUUUGUUAGGAAAGAAAGGCAGCAGGUUAAUACCCCGCUGUUCUGACGGUACCCAAAGAAUAAGCACCGGCUAACUUCGUG
rnacentral:rRNA from 1 species